rnacentral:rRNA from 1 species
CCCUUAGAUGUUCUGGGCCGCACGCGUGCUACACUGAGUGGAUCAGCGGGUCAGGUUGCGCGAAAGUGUUUCCUAAUCUUUAAAUCCGCUCGUGAUGGGGAUUGACGGUUGCAAUUUUCCGUCAUGAACGAGGAAUACCUUGUAAGCGCGGGUCAUCAUCCCGCGCUGAAUACGUCCCUGCCCUUUGUACACACCGCCCGUCGCUCCUACCGAUUGAGUGGUCCGGUGAGGCUUUGGGAUCUGAGCGGAAAGAGCGUUUCGCUGUUUCUGCCCGGAAAACUCAGUCGAACCUUAUCAUUUAGAGGAAGGAGACGUCGUAACA